rnacentral:rRNA from 1 species
UACGUAGGGCGCAAGCGUUGUCCGGAAUUAUUGGGCGUAAAGAGCUCGUAGGCGGCUUGUCACGUCGGGUGUGAAAGCCCGGGGCUUAACCCCGGGUCUGCAUUCGAUACGGGCUAGCUAGAGUGUGGUAGGGGAGAUCGGAAUUCCUGGUGUAGCGGUGAAAUGCGCAGAUAUCAGGAGGAACACCAGCGGCGAAGGCGGCGCUCUGGGCUGGCACUGACACUGAGGAGCGAAAGCGUGGGGAGCGAACAGG